GGAGAGAUGGCUCAAUGGUUAAGAGCACUGGCUGUUCUUCCAGAGGACCUGGGUUCAAAUCCUAGCAUCCA
rnacentral:tRNA from 1 species